UGCACUGUAAAAUUUUUCCAGGAUUUCACAAGAUAUAACUGUAAUAUUUCACAGUUAAUUACAUUAUUACCACUUCACAGGCUUUAACUGUGAUAAUUCACAAUAUAAUACCGUAUUUAGACUUUUACUGUGAAAAUAAUGCAGGCGCGGGGCUUUUACAAGAAACUACUGUGAAUGCCGUCUUUUUUGAGUGGCAACUGCGGCAGCGUCAUCAGAGCGUCAUCAGAGCUCUCUGAUCUACGUGGUCUCAUUCGGUGGAUUCAGACAGCGCAUUUUCUACAUUGACCAACGAUAAAUAAAGUUAUAAGGUGCUUCUUGGGCAUCAACCCAGAGACGGGCACAAAAUCUAAGAGGCAGAGAGGUCACAUGAACCAGCAAGUCUGCACUCUUAUCAGGAAGCUCAUUGACUUCGAAUGGAUGUCAAUCUAAUUGGAUAUAACCCACACUAUGCAGGUGCCAGCUGCGAGGGAAGGAGAGAGACACCUGCCACCCUCUCUAUUCCCACCUUUUUGUCUUUUCUUACAUCUCUCUCCCUCACUCUCUCUUCUCUGUCUCCUUUCUCUUUUGACACACAUUCCUGUUACCCAGUGUCAAUCCCUGUUGCCCAGUGUUUUAUUCAUGUAAUUAAAUUGUAUUUUACUUCUAAAAAAUAAAAGUUAUGUCACUGUUUUUA